rnacentral:rRNA from 1 species
AGUGAACGCUGGCGGUAGGCCUAGCACAUGCAAGUCGAACGGCAGCACAGUAAGAGCUUGCUCUUACGGGUGGCGAGUGGCGGACGGGUGAGGAAUACAUCGGAAUCUACUUUUUCGUGGGGGAUAACGUAGGGAAACUUACGCUAAUACCACAUACGACCUACGGGUGAAAGCAGGGGAUCUUCGGACCUUGCGCGAUUGAAUGAGCCGAUGUCGGAUUAGCUAGUUGGCGGGGUAAAGGCCCACCAAGGCGACGAUCCGUAGCUGGUCUGAGAGGAUGAUCAGCCACACUGGAACUGAGACACGGUCCAGACUCCUACGGGAGGCAGCAGUGGGGAAUAUUGGACAAUGGGCGCAAGCCUGAUCCAGCCAUACCGCGUGGGUGAAGAAGGCCUUCGGGUUGUAAAGCCCUUUUGUUGGGAAAGAAAAGCAGCAGGUUAAUACCCCGCUGUUCUGACGGUACCCAAAGAAUAAGCACCGGCUAACUUCGUG